UACGUUAUUUGUAUGUGGAAAAAUGAAGAAUGAAGAUAAGGAGGCAGCAUGGUGUGGCAGCCGAGAAAAGGAAGAUAAGGUGGUGGCGGGUCCACUAGAAAUUUUGAUCAUUGUAUUAAUUUUUGAGUUGGGAUAUUUGGUGAAUUGUUUGCUGUGUCGGUGUAAUGCCUAUAUAUUGAGUGUCUUGUGUGCUAAGAGAGCGUACAAAAACAGAAGAGAAAAAUAGAGGAGCACACACAGAGAGGAAAAACAAAGAGUUUUGAAGUGCACACAUACAGUGCCGAGGUGCACAUAGUGAGGGCCGAGAGUUUGGUGAUGUUUCUGAUCCAGCGAUGAUGUUUAUUUUUUCGGUUUUCAGGUACCGAGGAUGAACUUGGAUUGGUAGUGGCGGGCUUAGGUGGAAGAGUUGGUAUUGAGGAUUUUUAUUUAAUUAUUUAGAGAUUUUUGUAUAUUUUAUUGAGGAAAUUGAUUGUUGUAUCAAUAAAGGGUAUUUUAUAUCUUUUUUGAGACCCUGGGAGUAAUAUUGAAGUAUUUUGAUUUAAUAAAACUGGGAGUAAUAUUGAAGUA